UACUAUGUAAAUAGAAAAACACAUAUUAAUGUGACCAUCCCAAAACCCUAAACUGUUUCUCUCGACGACGUGUUUUGUCGCCGUCAUUGAACUCUUUUCAACCGGCGUCGACAUCACUCGUUUUGUUCCCGUCAUGCGAGUAUCCGUCUAAACUCCGCCUCUGUUUCAUGACUAUCUCCGACCGAAAAUCCAAUCCGGCGGCGAUAACCGAGGCUCUAAAAUCGCUAAAGAAUCCGAACUAGUGUUUCUCUGUAAUCGUGUGAAGGUAUGAUAGAGCAAGAGGAGUGGAGAUAGGGAACAAAGAUACCAAACUUGAACACUUAGUAGAAGCUUACACAACAUCCAACUGGAUAGUUCGCAUUUACAGAGUCAAACCUCCUACGAACAGGUUGUGACGCUUCAAUGUUACGAAAAAUGGCUUUAGAUAGUUGAUAGGUUUGAGGAACCAUACAAUUUCGGAUUUUCUUGGACUUUGUUUGAUUUUUAUGCAGAAACAAUUUUUGUAGUUUUUCCAUCGUUUAAGUUGAAACCUAUUUGCAUUGGUUUGUUCGUCUACUUUUAAAACAGGUUAUGUAAUUUAA